rnacentral:misc_RNA from 1 species
UCUGGUCACGCUGCCCCUAGCGUUAGUGUUUUUGCCAUCUCUACUCACGGUUUCGCAAAAGACAUAAAUAAUAAUUGGUAAAAAAAACGAUUAAUUAUUGUUAUUGGGGCUAAUUUAUGCCAAAAGUGCACACAUGCCAAACAUUCGCACGUGACACGAACACGAUUGGCAUUAGUGAGCGUGAGGGGAAUCCCGAAUAGAAUGAGAGAAGAUGCGCAUGCGCAGCCGCAGAUUGCUACCGAUUGUCCUGUCGCUGCUAAUCCUGGUCCUCCUGUGUCUCAGUUACUUCUCCGGCCACCUCAGGGACCCCCCUGACGAUGAAUUCCUACUGCACUUGCCCGCCGAAGCCGAGCAGACGCUGGACAAGACCACGCGUCCUGGCGAGCCCUCGGUGCCCAGUGGUCCCCUCCUCAAUCUGACCGACUUCGACUACCUACUGCGCAGUAAUGUGUGUCGCAAGGCGGACCGUGAGCUGCUGGCCAUUCUGAUAGUCACCUCGUACGCUGGACACGAUGCCCUGCGCUCCGCCCACCGCCAGGCGAUACCCCAGAGCAAGCUGGCCGAGAUGGGUCUGCAGCGGGUGUUCCUGCUGGCCGCCCUGCCCACUCGGGAGCACUUCCUCACCCAGGAACAGCUUGUAAGCGAGCAGAAGCGCUUCGGCGAUCUCCUCCAAGGCAACUUCGUGGAGGAUUACCGGAACCUGAGCUACAAGCAUGUGAUGGGCCUGCGGUGGGCGGCCCAGGAGUGCAAGGACCACGCCAAGUUCAUUAUCAAGCUGGACGAUGACAUUAUAUACGAUGUAUUUCACCUCAGGCGGCACCUGGAGGCCCUGGAAGUGGGCCAACCCGCCCUGGCCACCUCCAGCACGCUGCUCUCUGGCUUUGUGCUGGACGCCAAGCCGCCGAUCCGCCUGAAAGCCAACAAGUGGUAUGUGACCCGGCAGGAGUAUCCACACGCCCUCUAUCCCGCCUACCUCUCCGGGUGGAUGUACAUCACCAAUGUGCCCACGGCCUCCAGACUCGUGGCAGAGGCGGAGAGGGUGCCCAUCUUUUGGAUCGACGACACCUGGCUGACGGGUGUGGUGCGUACCCGGCUGGGCAUACCGCUGGAGCGCCACAACGACUGGUUCUCGGCCAAUGCCGAGUUCCUCGACUGCUGUGUGCGCGACCUGAAGCAGCACAGCUACGAGUGCGAGUACUCCAUUGGCCCGAAUGGCGGGGACGACCGACUGCUGGUCGAAUUUCUCCACAACGUGGAGAAGUGCUACUUUGACGAGUGCGUGAAGCGGCCGGCUGGCAAGUCGCUGAAGGAAACCUGUGUGGCGGCCGCCAAGUCGCGAGCCCCAGAGCACGGCUUGGCCGAAAUAAAACCGGUCAAGCUGAGGUGACCUCGGUUCCGGUUUCCGGAUAACCCACCAGACUCAGUAGCGCCUGCUCAGUAGCAGUUAACUUUAAUAUCAUCUACACGUAAGGCAUCCCAUGUGCAAGAGGCCCGUCCUCACCCAUACAUUAGUUUCCUUAAGCUUAAGAUAAUGCAGAACAGUUUUCUGGAUGCAUCCUGUUUGCUAUAACCAGUGUGUGAUAAGAUCGAGUAAUGUAGCUGCAGUCAAAAGAAUAUGCAGAAAAAGUCGAAAAGGUAAGAUUUUAUCACACUCACUUUACUCAGUAACCAGACAGACUCCGUCCUAAUCAGUAUGCUAGGGUUAGGCUCGAAAGUAACUAAGCGAUCAACUGCAUUUAAACACUACAGUCCAAAUAAAUUGCAUAUUUUUCUAAUAA